CAUGUGCACACUUUACGUGGCUGUUGACCUGCAAUCAAUCAAUGGUCAAAUUUUAUCGGCUAUUGCACUCGAGUAGGGUUGAUGAACUCUGUGUGCAACAUGAACAAUGCAUUGUGUGAAAUAUGCCAAGCGCCCAACACUUGCGAGAUAAUUAUUUCAAAUUUUUGAGCGAUAAGGAAACCUUCAUAGCUGGAAGUUGUGUGGUGACGAUGUAUAGAAAUGAACUUCUGAUACGAUGCGAUAAUCGUUUCGAUAAACGGGUCGAAAACCGUUCCAUUCUAAAUGGUGAAUACCUGAAUUGCGUCAUAGGAGCCUCUCGGAGAGCAAGCAAUAAUAAUUUACUACUUGAUUUUGAUAACCAAAUUAGUCGCACCAGCUUGAUAAUAGACACAUCGAACAAAACGACUGAAUGACGUAAUUUUACUUUGUUUAGAUGUAUAUUUGCUCUUAUUAUUUCUUGGAUCUGUUUACAGUCGAAUUAGAACCACAGACGCAUACAAAGGAAAACAUCAAUCUUUUAGUUAUUCCAAAUUUCAAUGCGUCGUACACCCACAGAUAUUGUGCAACUCUAUUAUUCUUGAUAAACAUACAGAAUAAUAGUAAAUCAUUCAAUAAAUAACUAAUUUACAGCGGCUUGGAAAAUCCUGUUAUAUUUUUCAAAAACGACAAAGUAUUGUUACAGCAACAACAACAGAGUUACACCAACUAGCACUAUAAACUGACA